rnacentral:rRNA from 1 species
GGCGAAGGGCGACUUUUUGCUUCUGUAAACUGACUCUUGAGGCGCGAAAAGCGUUGGGGAGCAAACAGGAAUUAGAUACCCUGGUAGACCCCCCCCUUAAACCGAUGAGUGUUAAGUGUUAGAGGGUUUCCCGCCCCUCUAGUGCUCGAAGAUAACGCAUUUAAGCACUCCGCCUCGGGGAGUACGGCCGCAAGGCUGAAACUCAAAGGAAAUUGACGGGGGCCCGCACAAGCGGUGGAGCAUGUGGUUUAAUUCGAAGCAACGCGAAGAACCUUACCAGGUCUUGACAUCCUCUGACAACCCUAGAGAUAGGGCUUCUCCUUCGGGAGCAGAGUGACAGGUGGUGCAUGGUUGUCGUCAGCUCGUGUCGUGAGAUGUUGGGUUAAGUCCCGCAACGAGCGCAACCCUUGAUCUUAGUUGCCAUCAUUAAGUUGGGCACUCUAAGGUGACUGCCGGUGACAAACCGGAGGAAGGUGGGGAUGACGUCAAAUCAUCAUGCCCCUUAUGACCUGGGCUACACACGUGCUACAAUGGACGGUACAAAGAGCUGCAAGACCGCGAGGUGGAGCUAAUCUCAUAAAACCGUUCUCAGUUCGGAUUGUAGGCUGCAACUGGCGGGCGUGAAGCCCGAUUCGUUUGUAAUUUUGGAUCAGGGGGGGGGGGGGGCUUCCCCUUUUUUUUUGGUUUGGGGGGGGGGGGGGGCCCCCUUUUUCCC